AUUUUUCGGACCAAACCGUCCAA
rnacentral:snRNA from 1 species